GGGAGCUUGCACAGGUGCUGCAUGGCUGUCGUCAGCUCGUGUCGUGAGAUGUUCGGUUAAGUCCGCUAACGAGCGCAACCCUCACUGUGUGUUAUAUGUGUCACACGGGACUGCCGGUUUUAAGCCGGAGGAAGGCGGGGAUGACGUCAAGUCAGCAUGGCCUUUAUAUCCUGGGCUACACACACGCUACAAUGGUCUGUACAAUAGGUUGCCAAGCCGCGAGGCGGAGCCAAUCCAAAAAAGCAGGCCUCAGUUCAGAUUGUAGUCUGCAACCCGACUGCAUGAAGAUGGAGUUGCUAGUAACCGCAGGUCAGCUAUACUGCGGUGAAUACGUUCCCGGGUCUU
rnacentral:rRNA from 1 species